GGGUGAGUAAUGCUUGGGAAUCUAGCUUAUGGAGGGGGAUAACUACGGGAAACUGUAGCUAAUACCGCGUAGAAUCGGGAGAUGAAAGUGUGGGACCUUCGGGCCACAUGCCAUAGGAUGAGCCCAAGUGGGAUUAGGUAGUUGGUGAGGUAGAGGCUCACCAAGCCGACGAUCUCUAGCUGGUCUGAGAGGAUGACCAGCCGCACUGGGACUGAGACACGGCCCAG
rnacentral:rRNA from 1 species